CUGGCUGUCGGCAGUGGUGCUAGAAAGAGUCAGGGAUGGGAGGAACGCCAUGGAGGUAAAGACUGAGGAGUGGACAGGGAGAGCAGAGCUUGAGGAGGGCAGGAAGGGACGCUGGAAAAGACAUGGCUGCUGAGGGUAGGGACAGAGUCCAGUUUGUGUUGCAGCAAGUCAUCAGGUAGGGUUUCAGUUUCAGCUGUUGAUGGACACAUUAGCUCUGUGGGAAUUUAACUGAAGAUGUGAUGCUGCUAGGCUGAGACAGUGAGAACCUGUGAGGAGUAAGGGGAACAUCACUUGGAGACUGUACACUUGGCUUCCAUAUCUUUCUCCUGCUGUACUCCACGGGAGGAAUAGAGUGUGUAAAUGACAUCCUGGAUGGACUAACCGAUGGAUAUAUCUCCUGCUUUCUGCCAUGGAUAGAUGGAUGCCUGGUGACAGGAGGGAAGACUGCUGAAUGCCCUCAGGGACUUGAAGAGCCUGGAAGAGACAAUGGAUCGCAUGGAACUAAAAAUUUGAUAUGGAAAUCUCUGCUUCACAAACUUCUUCAGGGAAACUCUGUGGAAAGACGAAAUCACCCCCAGCAGAACAGCGUGUUUGGACACAGUUGGGAAUAAUCAGUCCUGCAGGCUUUCAUUGAUCUGGAGCAGAAGCAGAACCUGUCAUGGAGCUCCAUCUGAUGUGUCACCAUCCAGCUACAGAGACACUGAAUGGAUAAACUCAGAAACUCUGCACAAAAAUACCAUCUUACUAUCCAACUUCUGUCUGCUACUUCUCUUUAAAUCAUGUGUCCCAUGUCCCACAGACAGACAGCAGCCUGCCUCCUCUCCUUCAUAUGUAACUUAUGAGCACAUCAGCUUGUUGAACAAGCAACCAAACACCAAACAAACACUAGAUGGCCAAUAAGCUGCAUCACAUUGAACAGCAUGUAAACACACCUGUACUUCUUCUGUUUUAGAUGCUGUUAACCACACACUGUCUGCCCAUGUUUGUUUACAUUGACUGCAAAGAGGGAUGACUAAAUAUGUUUUUAAAUAGACUUUGAUCAACCCAGUACAGACUGCAGUUCCUUCUCUCUCCACAACACAGAAGAAACAUGCAACUUUUUUAAAAACGCGAUACUGAAUCAGUACUAUUAAAAUCAGAGCACCUCUCA